GAGAUCUUGUCCAUUGUGUCCUGGAGUGUGGAUGGGAUAAGCCAGAGAACUGCCACAACUUGGUAUUCCCCUUCCUCACUGCCAUGGAAUACGCAAAAGCCCAAUAUGCAUGAUCCGUGGUGUAGCUGGGCAUGUGGUGGCCUGCGGUCAAGUCGUCUGAGCCCCAGAAGAACUGUGAAGUUGGCAGGAUUGAUGUUUGGGACCUCUUUCCCCAUUCUGACCCAAUCCAGGUCAAGUCCACCUGGAAGAAAUAGUGAGAAAAGUGGAAUUCAGAGAAACUGAGUAACCGGGCCAAAGAUCUUACAUCUAAUAAGUGGCUCCAGAGAGGGAAGAGGGACUGGAAAAGGAGCUAAAUGAUUGAUCAUGCCUACAUGAUGAAGCCGCCGUAAAAAUCCCAACAGUGUGGGGUUCAGAGAGCUCCCAGGUUGGUGAAUACGUCCACAGACUGGGAGGGUGACACACCCCAACUCCAUGAGGCAUGAAGCUCCUGUGCUCAGCACCCUCCCAGAUCUCACCCUAUGUACCUCUUCAUCUGGCUGUUCAUCUGUAUCUUUUAUUUUAUCCUCUAAUAAAUUAGUAAAUGUAA